UACUCCUACCUAUAUGUGAUGCGAAUAAAUAAAUUAAAUUUGAUAUGAUUUACGAGUGUCGAAAAUAUUUCUCGUAUUGAGGUGAAGAUAAGAUAAUCACUUAAAUCAGAUCUGUAUAUAAGAACGGUCUCUUCGGAUAUGAAAGUAGUUAAAUUCGAAAACCGUAUUUGAAAGAACCCAUUAAUCACUAUGAAAUAUUUCGCAAUCUUUGCAUUCAUGAUGCUUUGCAUCGCUUCCCUCUUCUCUGGGUCAGCUGCGGAAGUCAAAAUGGUCCCGGAAGACUGUCGCAAGUACGAGGAGUGUAUUAAUAGCAUAUGUAACAUUUAUGAUUGCCGUGAAGGACUCGAAUUUAAUCCUGUGAUUGGACUGUGUGACAUCCCUACCGGCCCCCGUACGGAUUGCAAAGUCCAUACAUUGUACCAAUAACUUACUAAAUGUCUCCAGAGCAAGUUAUUAUCGAAUCAGUGCCGCAUUUUCCAAUGGGAACAGCGAAGAAGUGCAUUUAAUAUUUGUAAAUGUUAAUGUAAAGUUUCAACAAUAUGUAAUAAUCGAAUAAAAUUUGUUGUUAAUGCCA